UACGAGGGGGGCGAGCGUUGUUCGGAAUUAUUGGGCGUAAAGGGUGCGUAGGCGGUUCCGCAAGUCCUGUGUGAAAUCUUCGGGCUCAACUCGAAGUCUGCACGGGAAACUGCGGGGCUUGAGUGUGGGAGAGGUGAGUGGAAUUCCCGGUGUAGCGGUGAAAUGGCGUAGAGUAUCGGGAGGAACACCUGUGGCGAAGGCGGGUCUCUGGGCCGUAACUG
rnacentral:rRNA from 1 species